GCCUGGGUGGCUCAGUUGGUUAAGUGUCCAGCUCUUGGUUUUGGCUCAGGUCAUGAUCUCAUGGACUGUGGGUUCAAGCCCUGCCUCAGGCU
rnacentral:tRNA from 1 species